GACUGUAGGGAGGGAGAUUUUAGCACUGGCUGUGGGCUGUGCAUCGUAUCAGAAGUUCUCUGAAACAGCCUGCUGUAGUACCCCACAUCCCUCCCCCUAAUUUUCUGUCCCAUUCUUCAGUGACUUGGCUCACUGUGUUCACCUUCCUCCUGGCUCUGGUCUCCAGGGCUGGACUGUCCUGAUGGCUGUCCAGGGACACACAGGCCACAUCUCACCCCAGCCUUCCAGAGAGGCAAUGAUAAAGGAGGGCUUGGCUUCAGAGAGACUGCUGACCCUGAGUCCUGGGUUACUGGGGAGUCCGUUCCACUUGUCCUCCCACUUGAGUUUGUGCCUCAGGUUAUUCAGAGAGGCCUUGGAGAUCGUGAAUCCCUGACUGCAGGCCCACAGUGCAGUUGAACUGGAAAGGUACAACUCCUGCUAAAGCAGCCAUCUCUGGUCCAGCCAUGAUUAGGGAAUGUUAGUCCUAAGAGCAACUGGAUUCCUGGCCCUUUAGCUUUGUAACUCUGGACAAGUCCUUUAUCUCCUUGAACCAGUGUCCUGUGAGAAUAAAACCUGCCUCGCACAGUUCUUAUGAUCAAAUGGGAUAACGUAUGAAAAAUUGUAAUGUGGCGUGCGAAUAAUUAUUGGUAGCUUGCUAUGUACCAGACACUGUUCUCAGUGCUUUUGUGUAUUACCUCAUUUAAUUUUCACAACAAUUUAUGAUGCAGUUGAUUAUUGCCCACAUUUUAUUGAUGAGAAAGUUGAACUGUUAGGAAUUGUAACUGUUAUUGUUGGGUGACUGACCCCUGUGGAAAUCAUGCAUCUGAAGACCUCUGUCUCCCAGAGGAAGGAAUAAACGGAAGUUUCUGCAAAUACAUUUGCACUCUGCCUUCCUUCCAUUGACCUACCUUUCCAGCUAAUUUUGGAUAUAAGUUUGUAACGUGAGUAAAAGAGGUCCGUAUUGGUCAGUUUGUUCUUUUGGUGCCCCUUUCUUGUCCUUUCUUGUCCUCUCCCCCCGGCUCUGCAGGGCUAAUGGACACAGCCCCUUCUUGGCUGUGCCUUUUAAGAGUCAUCUGUGUGGGACUGUCACCCUCUGUUCUCACUCGCCUAAUGGUGCCUUUUAAGAAUGAGGGUGCUGGUGGAUCAAAGAUAGUUGCUGUUAGGAUGGUGGUGCAGUUGUACAUCAGCUUCCUCAGUGCUGGGCCACACCUGCAUGCUGAGAAUCAGUUGUAUCUCCUUCUGACUUGAGUGUAAUUCGUGUAAAUAAACUAAAUGUUUAUGGAUUAAAAAAAGAGGUUGCUAGUUUGAUUUGACUUUAGGCAGGGGAAGUGUUUGGUUUAGAGCCGACAAUUAGGCUCCAAGUUUCCAAGGUCCCAGCUUUCUUUCUGAUGGUUCUGGUUAGCUGUUUUGCCUCCUUCCCUCUGAUCCAAACGAUCUGCCAGUGAGUACUCAGGUCUGAAGUUUUAAGUGUAUUAGGAAAAAAAAAAA